GGUUCAUUCAAAUUUCUGCCCUAUCAACUUUCGAUGGUAGGAUAUAGGCCUACCAUGGUUUCAACGGGUAACGGGGAAUUAGGGUUCUAUUCCGGAGAGGGAGCCUGAGAAACGGCUACCACAUCCAAGGAAGGCAGCAGGCGCGCAAAUUACCCAAUCCCGACCGGGGAGGUAGUGACAAUAAAUACUGAUACAGGGGGCUUCUGCCUCUUGUAAUUGGAAUGAGUACAAUUUAAAUCUCUUAACGAGGAACAAUUGGAGGGCAAGUCUGGUGCCAGCAGCCGGGUAAUUCCAGCUCCAAUAGCGUAUAUUACAGUUGUUGCAGUUAAAAAGCUCGUAGUUU
rnacentral:rRNA from 1 species